CACACGGACCUCAAACUCCACCUCCUGACAAAGAUACUACAAAGCAGACGUGGGAGCAAACAGGAGGCCAAUUCAUUUUCAAGAUGAGAGGACUUGUACUACUCUUUUUGUUUGGGACUGUUGUGGUAGCGAAACCAAAACCAACUACAGUUGAGAUACCGAACAAGGCAGGAAUUGUAUUCUUUAUGGAAAAUGACGAGGGCUUCAACAAUGCAACCAACACAUCAACGGUAACAUUGCCAAGAAAAGAAUUGGACAAUGCAGAGUGGAAUGGCACCGUGAUGUCGUUUGAAAAUUCUGCUGGAUUUGCUCCAAAAACUGCUGACAAUGACACACAGUGGAAUGGUGUUGUGAGGCCAAUUGAAAACACUUUUGGAUUUGCACCAGAACCUGCUGACAAAGAGGACACACAGGGAAAUACAGACGAGUGAAAAUGACACAGCAGAGAGUUCAGUUCAACAGGUCCAAACACAUAUGAAGUCCUGAGUACAGCCAUCAGAAUGAGGAACCAGCAGGGGAUUUCUUCAUCCUGCUACUGCUUCUUCUCCUCAAUAAACAUUUCAUUAGAAACUAUUGUGUGAAAUUUCUGUCUCAUUUCCUAAUGUAGCUGAUGUGGACCAACCCCAAAGAGGUGAGUUCAGCUUCA